rnacentral:misc_RNA from 1 species
UCCGGUUUGACACCGGCAGUCUCGUUAGAGUCCUGGCUUGCGCCUUAGCAACUAACGACAGGGGUUUCGCUCGUUAAGGGACUUAACCCGACACUUCACAGCACGAGCUGACGACAGCCAUGCAGCACCUGUGCACGUUCCGCCCUUGCGGGUGUUGAUCCUGUUUCCAGGAACUAAUCCGUGCAUGUCAAGCCUUGGAUAAGGUUCUUCGCGUUGCUUCGAAUUGAGCCACAUGCUCCACCGCUUGUGUGAGCCCCCGUCAAUUCCUUUGAGUUUUAGCCUUGCGACCGUACUCCCCAGGCGGUACACUUAACACUUUAGCUUCGACCAUGAUGGCGUCAGAGCCUCCACGAUCUAGUGUACAUCGUUUAGGGCGUGGACUAC